rnacentral:rRNA from 1 species
UACGAAGGGACCUAGCGUAGUUCGGAAUUACUGGGCUUAAAGAGUUCGUAGGUGGUUAAAAAAGUUGGUGGUGAAAUCCCAGAGCUUAACUCUGGAACUGCCAUCAAAACUUUUUAGCUAGAGUAUGAUAGAGGAAAGCAGAAUUUCUAGUGUAGAGGUGAAAUUCGUAGAUAUUAGAAAGAAUACCGAUUGCGAAGGCAGCUUUCUGGAUCAUUACUGACACUGAGGAACGAAAGCAUGGGUAGCGAAGAGG